AUUUAAAGCAGGAAACUCCCUCGCCUCACACAGACACGGCCGCAUUCAGCAGCGGCCAGCAUCUCCGCGGGAGGAAUGUCUGGCGCACAUUGCGCUAAUCCUCGCCCCCGAGCCGGGGUUUGCGCGGCCAUCGCCCAGGGCAGGGGCGCAAAGCCGCGUAUAUGUGUGUAUAUAUAGGUAAUAGGGCUUAAAGAAGCCCUGUUACCUAUAUAUACACACAUUUACGGAUAUAUUUUCAUGUGUGAGCUGGGAGCGGCUGGCAAAGCCAAGGCUGAUGGAAUUGCUGCGAGAAGAGAGGAACGGCGUAUAAAAACAAGCUCGCUCAAAGGCAACGCUGAAAACCUCACCUGCCCACAAACGCGUAUGGAUCACAGGCCGACACCUCCCAGCGCCUGCCUGAGAUCCGAGGCACGCUGCAUCCCGGCUUUCCUGCCCUGGAGAAACACGUGCGGCCGCGAGCAUCACACGGGCGCUGCAAACGCCGUCCGGAACAAGGGCCAGGCUGCCUGCCACCGACAGACCCUGCCAAUCCCAAUUUAUGGGCAGGAAACCUAUGCCAGGACAAACCAGCCGAGAUGACUCAAGUCGCCUCUCCCCCACCCUCGUGUUCCACAGAACAACAGCCCUCUUUAGCAGCGGGGAGUAGGAGCUCUUAGAGGAAUGACUCAAAGUUGCUCUCAGGGGUAGGGGAAAAACCCCCACAGAAGAGAAAACACCCAAGUCCCUCCCCACCCCCUCCUCUUUUUCACAUUGUAUUAAUUAAACACACAGCGACUGUCUUGAGGUAACAAAUACACUAAAGAGAAAUCUAGUUGGACCACAAGAUAAGUUUACAGAGGUCAAACCCAAGGGAAAACUAAUCCAACCACAUUUUCAAAUUUUUUGGACUAUUCCAUAGACCAAUAAAACCAUAAAAUGACAAAAACAUCCUAUCCUAGAAUAGCAUGAGGAUAGCAGAAAAUGUUAUGGUUAAUUAAAGGCAGAUGACUUAAUAAAAAUUUCACACUGUGUACAUACAGAACUCAGUAUCACUUUUUCAUCUA